UACCAGCACCCCGAGUGGUCGGGACGAUUAUUGGGCCUAAAGCAUCCGUAGCCGGUUCUACAAGUCUUCCGUUAAAUCCACCUGCUUAACAGAUGGGCUGCGGAGGAUACUAUAGAGCUAGGAGGCGGGAGAGGCAAGCGGUACUUAGUGGGUAGGGGUAAAAUCAGUUGAUCCAUUGAAGACCACCAGUGGCGAAGGCGGCUUGCCAGAACGCACUCGACGGUGAGGGAUGAAAGCUGGGGGAGCAGACCGG
rnacentral:rRNA from 1 species